GCACAAAGCUCGAAACCGCCCAUGGUGUC
rnacentral:sRNA from 1 species